rnacentral:rRNA from 1 species
AUACCCUGGUAUACUUAUUAAUUUUAGAUUAAUAAAGUUUUGAAAAUUAAAAAUUUUGGCGGUUAAAUUAUAAAUUUAGAGGAGCUUGUUUAAUUGUUGGAUAUCAUUCUUUAUAUUUUAGUAUUAAAAAGUUUAUUCAUCUCUGUUAUUAAAUUUAUAAUUUAAAGACAAUAAAUUUGAGUAUUUCAGGUCAAGAUGUAGCAUUAAAUAUAAGAAAUUAGCUACAAUUAUGAAAUAUAUGGAUAGAAUUAUACAAUUAGUUAUUAUAAAUUGAAUUUAGUUGUAAUAAUUACUAGAAUGUAAUUGUGAUUUUGUAUAAUUAAUGUACAUAUUGCCCGUCACUUCUCUAUUUAGAAAGUGGAGAAUAAGUCGUAACAAAGUA